rnacentral:rRNA from 1 species
AGCUGGCGUCUUCGGCGUCCGCAUUGUAAUCUCAAGAAGUGUUUUCCGCUUCGGACCAAGCCUAAGUCCCCUGGAAAGGGGCAUCAUAGAGGGUGAUAAUCCCGUACAUGGCUUGGAGCGCCCGAGGCUUUGUGAUACGCUUUCUAAGAGUCGAGUUGUUUGGGAAUGCAGCUCAAAAUGGGUGGUAAAUGCCAUCUAAGGCUAAAUAUUGGGGAGAGACCGAUAGCGAACAAGUACAGUGAUGGAAAGAUGAAAAGAACUUUGAAAAGAGAGUUAAACAGUACGUGAAAUUGCCAAAAGGGAAGGGUAGGAGGUCAGAGAUGCGGCCUGGGAUUCAGCCUUGCUUUUGCUUGGUGUUUUUCCCAGAUUGCAGGCCAACGUCGGUUUUGGGCACUGGAGAAGGGUAGGAGGAACGUGGCACCUCUCGGGGUGUGUUAUAGCCUCCUACUGGAUACAGCGACCGAGACCGAGGACUGCAGCGUACUCGCAAGA